UAUAUGUAUAUAUGUAUGUAUGUGUAUAUAUAUGUAUAUAUAUAUAUAUGUGUAUAUAUAUAUAUAUAUACACAUAUAUAUAUACACAUACCUAUAAUAUGGGCUUUUUAAACAUAAGAUCAUUGUCUCCCAAGGCGUUAUUGGUUAAUGAGGUCAUUAGAGACAACAAUCUUAACGUCAUUGGUCUUAGCGAAACCUGGCUCAAGCCAGACGAAUUUUUUGCGCUCAAUGAGGCAUCUCCUCCUAACUAUACGAAUGCGCAUGUUUCCCGUCCUCUUAAAAGGGGAGGGGGUGUCGCACUAAUAUACAAUGAAAAUUUCAACCUCACCCCUAACCUAAAUAAUAAAUAUAAAUCGUUUGAGGUGCUUACUAUGAGGUCUGUCACACCGCUACCUCUCGACCUGGCUGUUAUCUACCGCCCCCCUGGGCCCUAUUCGGACUUUAUCAGUGAAUUCUCAGAGUUCGUUGCUGAUCUAGUGACGCACGCCGACAAUAUAAUCAUAAUGGGGGACUUUAAUAUCCAUAUGAAUACCCCAUCGGACCCUCAGUGCGUGGCGCUCCAAACCAUAAUUGAUAGCUGUGGUCUUACACAAAUAAUACAUGAACCCACGCAUCGCAACGGUAAUACAAUAGAUCUAGUGCUUGUCAGGGGUGUCACCACCUCCAAAGUUAUGAUACUUCCAUAUACUAAAGUAAUGUCCGAUCAUUACCUUAUAAAAUUUGAAGUUUUGACUCAUUGUCAACAAGCUAAUAAUAAUAAUAACUGCUAUAGCGGCCGCAACAUUAAUGCUGCCACAACGAUGACUCUUGCUGACCUACUGCCUUCGGUAAUGGCACCAUUCCCAAAUUAUGUCGGCUCUAUUGAUAACCUCACUAACAACUUUGACGAUGCCUUGCGCGAAAUUAUUGAUAGUAUAGCACCGCUAAAGCAAAAAAGGGCCCCUAAAAGGCGCACCCCAUGGUUUACAGAAGAAAUUAGAGCUCAUAAAUGAUCAUGUAGAAAACUGGAACGCAAAUGGCGCGCGACUAAACUUGAGGUUUUCCAUCAAGCAUGGAGUGAUAGUUUAAUGACUUAUAAACGCAUGCUUACCUUAGCUAAAGCUAAAUACUACUCAAAUCUCAUCCGCCUCAACAAAAACGAUCCUAAAUUUCUGUUUAGUACAGUAGCAUCGCUAACCCAACAAGGGACUCCUCCCAGUAGCUCCACCCACUCGGCAGAUGAUUUUAUGAAUUUCUUUAAUAAGAAAAUUGAACUCAUUAGAAAGGAGAUUAAAGACAACGCAUCCCAGCUACAACUGGGUUCUAUUAACACAAAUACGACUGUAUAUACGACGGACACUGCCCUCCAAAAUAGUCUCUCUAUUUUUGAUGAAAUAACAUUAGAGGAAUUAUUACAGCGUGUAAGUGGGAUAAAACAAACAACAUGUUUACUUGACCCACUUCCUGGGAAACUUAUCAAGGAACUGCUUGUAUUAUUAGGUCCAUCAGUGUUAAAUAUUAUAAACUUAUCACUUUCCUCCGGCACUGUUCCCCUAGCAUUCAAAAAAGCGGUUAUUCAUCCUCUGCUCAAAAGACCUAACCUCGAUCCUGACCUCAUGGUAAACUACCGACCGGUCUCCCACCUUCCGUUUAUUUCCAAAAUUCUCGAAAAAAUUGUUGCACAGCAGCUAAAUGAACACUUAGUGACUAACAAUCUCUGUGAACCUUUUCAAUCCGGUUUCAGGGCAAAUCACUCUACGGAGACAGCCCUCGCAAAAAUGACUAAUGAUCUAUUGCUAACGAUGGAUUCUGAUGCGUCAUCUAUGUUGCUGCUUCUUGAUCUUAGCGCCGCUUUCGAUACCGUCGAUCAUAAUAUUUUAUUCGAGCGUAUCAAAACACGUAUUGGUUUUUCAGACUUAGCCUUGUCUUGGUUUAACUCUUAUCUUACUGACAGGAUGCAGUGCGUCUCCCAUAACAAUGUGACCUCGGACUAUGUCAAGGUAACGUGCGGAGUUCCCCAGGGUUCGGUUCUUGGCCCUGCACUCUUUAGUAUUUACAUGCUGCCGCUGGGUGACAUCAUACGCAAGUACGGUGUUAGCUUUCACUGUUAUGCUGAUGACACUCAACUCUACAUGCCCCUAAAACUGACCAACACGCCGGACUGUAGUCAGCUGGAGGCGUGUCUUAAUGAAAUUAAACAAUGGAUGUCCGCUAACUUUUUGCAACUCAACGCUAAGAAAACAGAAAUGCUGAUUAUCGGUCCUGCUAGACACCAACAUCUAUUUAAUAAUACCACCUUAACAUUUGACAACCAAACAAUUAAACAAGGCGACUCGGUAAAGAAUCUGGGUAUUAUCUUCGACCCAACUCUCUCGUUUGAGUCAGACAUUAAGAGUGUUACUAAAACGGCCUUCUUUCAUCUCCGUAAUAUCGCUAAAAUUCGUUCCAUCUUGUCCACUAGCGACGCUGAGAUCAUUAUUCAUGCGUUCGUUACGUCUCGUCUCGAUUACUGUAACGUAUUAUUUUCGGGUCUCCCUAUGUCUAGCAUUAAAAGAUUACAGUUGGUACAAAAUGCGGCUGCAAGGCUUUUGACAAAAACAAGAAAGUUUGAUCAUAUUACGCCUAUACUGGCUCACCUGCACUGGCUUCCUGUGCACUUAAGAUGCGACUUUAAGGUUUUACUACUUACGUAUAAAAUACUACACGGUUUAGCUCCAGCCUAUCUCGCCGAUUGUAUUGUACCAUAUGUCCCGACAAGAAAUCUGCGUUCAAAGAACUCCGGCUUAUUAGUGAUUCCCAGAGCCAAAAAAAAGUCUGCGGGCUAUAGAGCGUUUUCUAUUCGGGCUCCAGUACUCUGGAAUGCCCUCCCGGUAACAGUUAGAGAUGCUACCUCAGUAGAAGCAUUUAAGUCCCAUCUUAAAACUCAUUUGUAUAAUCUAGCCUUUAAAUAGACCCCCCUUUUUUUAGACCAGUUGAUCUGCCGUUUCUUUUCUUCUCUCCUCUUCUCCCCUGUCCCUUGCGAGGGGGAGUUGCAUAGGUCCGGUGGCCAUGGAUGAAGUGCUGGCUGUCCAGAGUCGGGACCCCGGGUGGACCACUAGCCUGUGCAUCGGUUGGGGACAUCUCUGCGCUGCUGACCCGUCUCCGCUCGGGAUGGUUUCCUGUUGGCCCCGCUGUGGACUGGACUCCCGCUGAUGUGUUGGAUCCACUGUGGACUGGACUUUCACAAUGUUAUGUCAGACCCACUCGACAUCCAUUGCUUUCGGUCUCCCCUAGAGGGGGGGGGGUUACCCACAUAUGCGGUCCUCUCCAAGGUUUCUCAUAGUCAUUCACCGACGUCCCACUGGGGAGGCUGUCAAUGGAUCAGGACUGCGGCCAUUGUUUAUUCCUCGCACGUAGCUACCACGCUGGUCCCGAUUCUGUCACACAUCCUCUUCCAUGAGUUCCCCGUUGACGGCCCACGGGGCCCGCAGACGCCACGUGAAC